rnacentral:rRNA from 1 species
UACGUAGGGUGCGAGCGUUAAUCGGAAUUACUGGGCGUAAAGCGUGCGCAGGCGGUCCGCAAAGUCUGAUGUGAAAGCCCCGGGCUCAACCUGGGAACUGCAUUGGAAACUAACGGGCUCGAGUGUGGCAGAGGGGGGUGGAAUUCCACGUGUAGCAGUGAAAUGCGUAGAGAUGUGGAGGAACACCGAUGGCGAAGGCAGCCCCCUGGGCUAACACUGACGCUCAGGCACGAAAGCGUGGGGAGCAAGCAGG